GCAGCUAAGAUCGUUAAAACGUGUUGUGUGCUUGACAAUAUAGCUAACAAAGCGAAUUGUGAACUGCCUCCGCUGAACCGACACGAAGAACAGGAGCAGCAGCAGGAGCAGAGAUUAGCGGCGGAGUUUGACGCCCGUCAGCAGAAUGCUGAUAUUUAUUUGGCAAUGGCUCCUGACAGGUGUUGGCUAAACAAAGAGCUGCAGCUGGGUCGCGCUGCUCGUCAAGCGCUUGUCCGGCAGUUAGCAAAUUAUUGAUUCUUCAUCGGACCAAGGCCGAUUUGUCCAGGACCAAUUUUCGGAUCUCCUGGGCUACCUGGAACAAGGACUAGUGAUUGUUUCGAGGAGCUGUCAUGGUGUUGGCUCUUGAUAUUUUAUCGUGAAACGCAGAUUUAAUGAUGACGGCGCGUCGGAACCCAAACGUCAAGAAUCGCCGACGUUCACGGAAGCAGCUACAAUGAGCGGAGAAUCUGAGAGCCAGGAAUGCGGAGCACCUAGCUACUACUGAAAUGGAGGACCCGGACCUGUUAGCGACAUGGAACUGACCAGGACCGUCGUGGGCUCCUCAUGUGCCACCCCCGGAUACCUUUUCUGAUUGUGGUGUUUACAGUACAGUGUACAUAUUCAUGAAAAAAAAAAUUGUAGGUACUUUUUUACAUUUUUAAAAAACGCACUCUGCAUGGUUUUGGAGUUUCGACAUGGGUUGUGGU